UGGGGAAUAUUGCACAAUGGGCGAAAGCCUGAUGCAGCAACGCCGCGUGAGUGAUGAAGGCCUUCGGGUUGUAAAGCUCUGUCUUCUGGGACGAUAAUGACGGUACCAGAGGAGGAAGCCACGGCUAACUACGUGCCAGCAGCCGCGGUAAUACGUAGGUGGCAAGCGUUGUCCGGAUUUACUGGGCGUAAAGGAUGCGUAGGCGGAUAUUUAAGUGAGAUGUGAAAUUCCCGGGCUUAACUUGGGAGCUGCAUUUCAAACUGGGUAUCUAGAGUGUGGGAGAUGAAAGUGGAAUUCCUAGUGUAGCGGUGAAAUGCGUAGAGAUUAGGAAGAACCCCAGUGGCGAAGGCGACUUUCUGGACCAUAACUGACGCUGAGGCAUGAAAGCGUGGGGAGCAAACA
rnacentral:rRNA from 1 species